GACGAACGCUGGCGGCGUGCCUAAUACAUGCAAGUCGAGCGGACGAAUCGAAAGCUUGCUUUUGAUUCGUUAGCGGCGGACGGGUGAGUAACACGUGGGCAACCUGCCCUGUAGACGGGGAUAACACCGAGAAAUCGGUGCUAAUACCGGAUAACACGAAAUGUCGCAUGACGUUUCGUUGAAAGACGGCGCAAGCUGCCGCUACAGGAUGGGCCCGCGGCGCAUUAGCUAGUUGGUGAGGUAACGGCUCACCAAGGCGACGAUACGUAGCCGACCUGAGAGGGUGAUCGGCCACACUGGGACUGAGACACGGCCCAGACUCCUACGGGAGGCAGCAGUAGGGAAUCUUCCGCAAUGGACGAAAGUCUGACGGAGCAACGCCGCAUGAGCGAAGAAGGCCUUCGGGUCGUAAAGCUCUGUUGUUAGGGAAGAACAAGUAACGCAGUAACUGGCGUUACCGUGACGGUACCUAACGAGAAAGCCACGGCUAACUACGUG
rnacentral:rRNA from 1 species